UAACAACACUGAGUACCUGCACACUUAAUCAAAGAAUAGGAUACAGGGUUUCUUGGUAGGUUCCAUAUCACCUGAAAAAGCAGCAUUUCCUGUGUGAAUACCAGGAAGAGGAGGCAUUAGAGAUCUGUGGAGCCAGGGAUUGCAGCCUUCAGCAUUAAGUAGCCUCUGCUGUUCCCUAAAAAGCAGCAGUGAUCAUUGAAGCUUCAGGGAAAGAGAAAAGAACUGACAGUGAAUUAGACAGUGGUAGUGAUAAGAAUAUACAAGACUUGCUGUGCUGCGUAGAACUCCUGUGAUGAUGAGGGAGAUAUCUGUGGACUGAUUCCAUUUUUGGCCCAGGUUUCCAUCAUCUCAAGAUUCAUGUGAGGAGCCAGCCCCUUAUGAACAGGCAAGUGUUUCCAAAAUUUAAAUUCAGAUUGAGAACAAAGCUAAUGUUAAAGUUUCAGCAACAACCAACACCGCUGCCUGAUUGUUUUUAUGCAAGAGCAGCACUUGAAAGAUGAGUCUCCUUUCCAGUCUGUAUGCUCUCCCCUGGCCUCCUCCAUCAUUUCAGAAUCAAUAGCUGUUUCUGAUUGCACCCCUCCCCUCCAGACCCUGCUCUUUGCUACCUCAUUUUGAUUUUAAUUUACCACUGCAAAAUUGCAGUCAUUUUUCCCCCAUCGUAAUUAAGAAACCUAUCCAUUAAGGAGACUGAAAACAAAAACAAAGCCUUCUUAUCUGAGCCCUUAGCACAGAACAGAGACAGAAAUGAUUGGUGAGAAGAUCAGGUCUAGAAA